rnacentral:rRNA from 1 species
AUUGAACGCUGGCGGCAUGCCUUACACAUGCAAGUCGAACGGCAGCACGGGGGCGACCCUGGUGGCGAGUGGCGAACGGGUGUGUAAUAUAUCGGAACGUGCCCAGUCGUGGGGGAUAACGUAGCGAAAGCUACGCUAAUACCGCGUACGAUCUAUGGAUGAAAGCGGGGGAUCGCAAGACCUCGCGCGAUUGGAGCGGCCGAUAUCAGAUUAGGUAGUUGGUGAGGUAAAGGCUCACCAAGCCGACGAUCUGUAGCUGGUCUGAGAGGACGACCAGCCACACUGGGACUGAGACACGGCCCAGACUCCUACGGGAGGCAGCAGUGGGGAAUUUUGGACAAUGGGCGCAAGCCUGAUCCAGCAAUGCCGCGUGCAGGAUGAAGGCCUUCGGGUUGUAAACUGCUUUUGUACGGAACGAAACGGCGAGCUCUAAUACAGUUUGCUAAUGACGGUACCGUAAGAAUAAGCACCGGCUAACUACGUGCCAGCCGCCGCCGUAA